CAACUUAAUAGCUUGAAGUUCUUAGGGUCCAUUUUUUUUUCUUUUCUUUGAGCACUGAACCCAUCCAUUUUCUCAGAGGGAAGCUCAUCUCUUCUGUGCAUUGUCCAUCAGUCUGCUGUUAGUCCAGUUGCACAGCCAGGUGGCUUUGCAGAAAUCCCUGGAGCAGGUGGCUGUGUCAUCCAAGUUUCUCCCACGGUGCAGGAAGAAGAAUGAGGGCAAACCGAAAAAUAAUUGUUUCUUUUUGAAAAAUGUCCUACUUUUAUUUUAAGUUCAAGAGUACAUGUGCAGGAUGUGUAGGUUUGUCACAUAGGGUGUGAAGGGGACAUCUGCCAGCAAGCGACAUCAUAAUGGAAAAGAGAGAUAUGGCCAGAGUCCAGAAAAGUUGAGCUUCAAUGAUAGAAAGAGUUUGAAUACACGCCAAAUUUAGGUAAUCCGCUUACUAAAUCAGGACUGGCUCUUUGAAAUGUUACUCAAAAUCUCUGUUUAAAAAAACAUGGGGCACUUCAAAAGUAGUUCUGCCACGGUAUGUGAAAAAGAGGUCAUGGUUUGUAGCUUAAAAUUUCAAAUAUUGUAAGUUUCACUUCAGAGAAUUAACGUAGUAUAUAUGCAGCAAAAAUGACUUUUCUUAACACAUCAAGCAGAGCCUUAGAAACCUCCCACCCAACUGAGUUCAUUCAUUCUCUAGGGGAAAAAUUUAUUUUGCAAAGGACAGUUUAAUCCAUGAAACUGGCUGUUAAGGUCCCUGUUAGGGGAUCAGAUUUUCUACUUAAUUUGACUAUACGAUUGAAUAUGUUUUGCAUCAUUUGGCAAAUUUCCCUGUAGAAGUUUUCAGUUUUUUCCUUUUGUUAACUGAAAACGAGGAGGUAUACAUGAGAACAUCAUGAAAGAAAAUGCAUUGUUUUCAGUAUUCG
rnacentral:lncRNA from 1 species